AUUGAACGCUGGCGGCAGGCCUAACACAUGCAAGUCGAGCGAGCGGCGGACGGGUGAGUAAUGUCUGGGAAACUGCCUGAUGGAGGGGGAUAACUACUGGAAACGGCAGCUAAUACCGCAUACCAUCAGAUGUGCCCAGAUGGGAUGAGCUAGGAGGGGGGGUAACGUAUCACCUGGGCGACGCUACCUAUCUGGUCUGAGAGGAUGACCAGCCACACUGGAACUUAGACACGGUCAAGACUCCUACGGGAGGCAGCAGUGGGGAAUAUUGCACAAUGGGCGCAAGCCGGAUGCAGCCAUGCCGCGUGUAUGAAGAAGGCCUUCGGGUUGUAAAGUACUUUCAGCGGGGAGGCGUUACCCGCAGAAGAAGCACCGGCUAACUCCGUGCCAGCAGCCGCGGUAAUUC
rnacentral:rRNA from 1 species